AGGACGAACGCUGGCGGCGUGCUUAACACAUGCAAGUCGAGCGGUAAGGCCUCUUUGGGGUACACGAGCGGCGAACGGGUGAGUAACACGUGGGUGACCUGCCCCCUACUCUGGGAUAAGCCUGGGAAACUGGGUCUAAUACCGGAUAUGACUCUGGGUUGCAUGAUCUGGGGUGGAAAGCUUUUGUGGUGGGGGAUGGGCCCGCGGCCUAUCAGCUUGUUGGUGGGGUGAUGGCCUACCAAGGCUUCGACGGGUAACCGGCCUGAGAGGGCGUCCGGCCACACUGGGACUGAGACACGGCCCAGACUCCUACGGGAGGCAGCAGUGGGGAAUAUUGCGCAAUGGGCGGAAGCCUGACGCAGCGACGCCGCGUGGGGGAUGACGGCCUUCGGGUUGUAAACCUCUUUCGGCCUCGACGAAGCCUCUUCGGGGUGACGGUAGGGGUGGAAGAAGCACCGGCCAACUACGCGCCAGCAGCCGC
rnacentral:rRNA from 1 species